rnacentral:misc_RNA from 1 species
UGCGGGUGUGACGUCUGAUGUUAAAGUUUCUUACGCACACUAACGCGCCAGCAUUAUUUUUGUCGUGACGCUCACUUCUUCCUUCUUUGUAAAGGCGUUUAAACUAAUAUUUUCACCCAAUCUGUUAAAGUCUCCAAUUGUAUUAGCAUAUCAGCGGUUUACUUAUUAACUUUGUAGUGUUUUUAUUGUGAUAAUCAUCUAAAAGUGUCAGUUGUCAAGACAUAACCUCUGAUUAAUUUCUUGGAACCGUUCGUGCUACGUUCGAGACGAGACCUUGAUAACUAGUUCCUUGGACAAACGAAGAGACAGUUAUUAUUAUAGGAUGCUCAUGGAGGUACGUCUUUAGCUUACAUCGGUAUUGUGUUGUGGCGGUCGAUCGUGUGCGUUAGUUUUAAUCAGAAAAGUUUGAUCAGUGAGGUGGUGUGUUCGAGAUUACAGUUUUUACAUUUUGCUGUUAAUAGUGCGUAGCGGUCAGUGAUAUGUCGAAUUUCAUUAAAUGUGCGAUCUGAUUAUCGAGUGCGACCGCCAAGGAGCGCUGUGUGGCGUCGACAACGCAUUUUUAAUCGUAUUAAAGUGCGAUGGACGACAUCGGAGACGCCCUGCAGGGUGUAGCGCACAAUGACGAAGAGGCUCCCCCCGACCUGAACAUAAGUGAAGUGUUACAUGCCAUCUCGAUAGCGGACCCGACGUUCGGCGUCGGCGUGGAGGAGAUGUACCGGCAGCCGGCAGUGGCACCGCCGACGGCGCCGCAGCCUACCGGGGCUCCCAAGAUGCCCUACGUGCGUAUCAUCGAGCAGCCGGCCGGCAAAUCGUUGCGGUUUCGAUAUGAGUGUGAAGGACGGUCAGCAGGCUCCAUUCCCGGCGUGCACAGUACGCCGGAGAAGAAGACAUACCCCACCAUUGAGGUGGUCGGCUACACGGGCCGCUUCGUCGUGCUCGUGUCGUGCGUCACCAGAGAUAAACCUUACAGGCCGCACCCCCACAACCUGGUGGGCCGCGAGCCGCUGUGCAACCGCGGCGUGUGCACCGUGGAGUGCAACGCGGACACCUCCGUCGUGCAGUUCAGCAACCUCGGCAUCCAGUGCGUCAAGCGCAAAGACAUCGCGGAGGCUCUGCGCGUCAGGGAGGAGAUCAAAGUGGACCCUUUCAAAACUGGCUUCAGCCACAAGAACCAACCCCAAAACAUCGAUCUGAACGCCGUCCGGCUGUGCUUCCAAGUGUACAUCCCCGGCGGCAACACCAGCAAGAUCAAGCAGGCGCUGGCCCCAGUGGUCUCUGACGUCAUCUACGACAAGAAGGCCAUGUGCGAGCUGCAGAUCAACCGGCUCAGCACGUGCGCGGCCAGCGUGCGUGGCGGCACCGAGCUCAUACUGCUCUGUGAGAAGGUGACUCGCGACGACGUGGACGUGGUGUUCAGCCAGGCGUUCGACGACGGCUCCGUGUGGGAGGCGUCCGCCAACAUCGUGCUCGUGCACAAGCAGGUCGCCAUCGCCUUCCAAGCGCCGCCCUACCGAGACCCCACCUGCAUGGAGAACGUGAAGGUGAAGAUAUUUCUGAAACGAGUAUCGGACGGCGCCCGCAGCGCGCCGGUGGACUUCGAGUACACGCCCGACUACGCAGGUACCUCGCGCAAGGCGCUCCCCGACCGCGCCGUGCUCUCGCUGCUGCUCGCCGACCGCACCGACUCCAACAACAACGACGACAAGCGCGCCAGCUGCUCCAGCGACAGCGUCAGCGCCAGCGACUCCGGCGACAGCGGCGAGGCCGACAUCGCCGACCUCAACGGCACCGCCUCCGACCCGCCGCUCGAGACCGAGAAGGGGCUCGACGAGCUCCUCGACCAGGUCGCGGAGCUCGACGAGAUCUACACCGAGAACCGCACGCGGCUGCAGAACGCCGCCAGCGCGGAGAGCGAGGACGCCGACGACUUUAAUGACGCCGGCACUUACACUAGCCUCCAGCUCGCGUUCAGGAACCCCGUUCUGAUCUCCGAACCGGAGCAGUACGAGGACGUUCAGGUGCAGACGUACCGCGGCCCCAUUAUAGAAUUUGCGCCCCUCAAGCGGGACACGGAUGACGAGCGCGCCCCCCCUUUGCCUCCCAAACGCAUUCGGAUUAUUUAAGUAAUAAAAAGCGGAAGACGGCGCAGAAUAUAGAUUCGUUCUUAGCUUCGUACAAGCAAGACAUGGGAUUUCACGAAUCUGCCAUCAAAAAGGAACCGAGAGACGCCAGUCCGGCGCUGCAGAUCCACAGUCCGCCGAUGGCGGCCGUGAGCCCGCACUACCCCAGCGCAGCGCAGUACCGUGACCCCGCUGAGCAGUACCA